rnacentral:rRNA from 1 species
AACGAACGCUGGCGGCAUGCCUAACACAUGCAAGUCGAACGAGACCUUCGGGUCUAGUGGCGCACGGGUGCGUAACGCGUGGGAACCUGCCCUUAGGUUCGGAAGAACUCCCCGAAAGGGGUGCUAAUACCGGAUAAUGUCUUCGGACCAAAGAUUUAUCGCCUUUGGAUGGGCCCGCGUUGGAUUAGCUAGUUGGUAGGGUAAAAGCCUACCAAGGCGACGAUCCAUAGCUGGUCUGAGAGGAUGAUCAGCCACACUGGGACUGAGACACGGCCCAGACUCCUGAGGAAGGGCGCAGUGGGGAAUUUGGGAAACCGGGUGAAAGCAGAACCCCCAAAUGCCGGGUAGGGCAUGAAGGCCUUAGGUUUUGAAAGCUUUUUUCCCCGGGAUGUUAAUGCCAGGACCGGGGGAAUAAGCCCGGCUAAACCCCUG